rnacentral:misc_RNA from 1 species
AGAUCACAAUAGAAAGGUGGACUCCCACUUUUGCUAACUUAAAAUAUUGCAGACUAUGUUAAUAGUUUCUAUCACCAAACUUCCUAUGUUUAAAUCAUCACCAAUCCCUUGGCUUAACAACAGUCAUAUGCAUUUUCUAUAAUUGUCGAUUAACCCGCUUUUGGUCUCUCAGUACAAAAAUGUACCUCCGAUAUUUUUGCAGUACACCCAGUUGAUAUCUUAGCACUAUGCUAGGUAAAAUCAUAGCAUGAAAACACUAACAUCAUGACACGCCUCAACUUCCUGAGUCGCUCCACCAAAAGCUAACCGAGAA